rnacentral:rRNA from 1 species
UUUACUUCGGUAAGAGCGGCGGACGGGUGAGUAACGCGUGGGUAACCUACCCUGUACACACGGAUAACAUACCGAAAGGUAUGCUAAUACGGGAUAAUAUAUUUGAGAGGCAUCUCUUGAAUAUCAAAGGUGAGCCAGUACAGGAUGGACCCGCGUCUGAUUAGCUAGUUGGUAAGGUAACGGCUUACCAAGGCGACGAUCAGUAGCCGACCUGAGAGGGUGAUCGGCCACAUUGGAACUGAGACACGGUCCAAACUCCUACGGGAGGCAGCAGUGGGGAAUAUUGCACAAUGGGCGAAAGCCUGAUGCAGCAACGCCGCGUGAGUGAUGAAGGCCUUCGGGUCGUAAAACUCUGUCCUCAAGGAAGAUAAUGACGGUACUUGAGGAGGAAGCCCCGGCUAACUACGUGCCAGCAGCCGCGGUAAUACGUAGGGGGCUAGCGUUAUCCGGAUUUACUGGGCGUAAAGGGUGCGUAGGCGGUCUUUCAAGUCAGGAGUGAAAGGCUACGGCUCAACCGUAGUAAGCUCUUGAAACUGGGAGACUUGAGUGCAGGAGAGGAGAGUGGAAUUCCUAGUGUAGCGGUGAAAUGCGUAGAUAUUAGGAGGAACACCAGUUGCGAAGGCGGCUCUCUGGACUGUAACUGACGCUGAGGCACGAAAGCGUGGGGAGCAAACAGGAUUAGAUACCCUGGUAGUCCACGCUGUNAACGAUGAGUACUAGGUGUCGGGGGUUACCCCCUUCGGUNCCGCAGCUAACGCAUU